UAUUUUGCGGUUUGUUGUCGGAUGUCGAAAAUUUCCAGAAGGAUUAUAAAAUUGUGCGAAAAUUCUUGAAAAUGUUUUCAUGUAAAACUUUGAUAAUAAAACAUAAAAUUUGAAAGAUCUCAACAAAACUAGCUGAUAAAAUGGACGGAAAUAGAUUUAUUACCUCCUUGGCCAAGUUGAGACUUGAGAUCUCAGACAGAUUAUUUGUGAAAAUAGAACAUGGGGUUCACAGUUUCCAAUUCUAUGUGUUAGAAAAACAAGUUCAAAUUCGUUUCUGGUGUGAUCGCCAUAACGCAAGCCGGAUUACCGAUAAGACCUCAUUUUAUGCUGAGAGUGCUCAACUUCAUCCGGUAGUCAAAGUGUCAAACCUUGAGGGACCUUGGGUGAUCACGUGUAAGUUAUAAACUCAUGGGAGGGUGUUUACUUACUAUAUCACCACGCAUUUGGUGAAGAACUCUUAUAGACUCUAGACACCUGAUCAAAUGGGAACAAGAGUUGCAUGAGUGUUGACUGUAUAUUAGUGCCCGGCACGCGUUGAUGUUAAAUAAGCGUGAAUUAGUUCUUGUCAACUCGUAAACGAGAACAAGAGUUGCAUGAGAGUUGACUGGAUAUUACCACACGUAGCAGUCAAACGAGGGAAAACUCUCGUCAACUCUCAUGAUCUGGUCAAACGAGAACAAGAGUUGCAUGAGAGUUGACUGGAUAUUACCACACAUAGCAGUCAAACGAGGGAAAAGUCUCGUCAACUCUCAUGACCUGGUCAAAUGAGAACAAGAGUUGCAUGAGAGUUGACUGGAUAUUACCACAUGUUGCAGUCAAACGAGGGAAAACUCUUGUCAAUUCCUAUGACUUGGUCAAACGAGAACAAGAGUUGCAUGAGAGUUUACUCAUGUUACCAUGCAGGCAUAGCAUUUCCCAUUCACGAGAAAGCCUUCAAAUUAAUCAAAUUAUUUAAUAUACUUUCGCAGAACUAUUUAAAUUCAUCUUGCGAUAUUUAUUCAACUAGCCUAAUAACUGAUUGUUUAUAUAUACUCCCUACCAUGCAUAUCGCAUGGCAUGCAGGUAUUAUAUGCUACACUUGCAAGGUUUCAGGAAAUGCUGCGCUUUAGGUACUUUGCAUGUUGCUAAGCUUUUUCGCCUACCCUGUCUUGAAUAAAAUUCGUAUAUUUGUUCUGCACGCAAAGGUCUCGCUAUAUUGAAAGAAAAUGUUUCAAGUCUUGUAAGAAUGAUACAAAAUAUAAUAAUAUACGAUUCAUGAAAGUUCAGUGAAAUUAUGAAACGCGGAAAGGGCAACAUGAACAAAGAUUGGUUGCCAUUGUAACAUAGUUAUCCGCUAAAAAAUGCCUCAAAUCUCACAGAAAUCAUGCAUGCCAAAUAUCACAACCACAAUUGUCAAUUGCAUGGUGAAAAAAUAUAUACUUAGGAAAUUCAUUUUGAAUGCCAAAGUUUCGCACUUAUGUAUCUAUAAUAGUAAACAGAAUGUAUUUAUAGGAAUCACUUUUCAAGAUAAUCGCGUCACAGCAGCGUGCGUGCACGCAUAUAUCAGCGUCAUAGAAAAACAAAUGUGUCUUAGAAGGACAGCUAGGGCUGUUUUCAACUUACGCGUUUUUAAUACGCACGUACACGCACGUAAAAGUCUAUAAAUCCUUAUACAUGUUACCUUUGAAAAAAACUAAGUGAAUAAAUCGAAGGAACUUAGUUUUCUGCAUAUUUUAGUAUGCAUUAGUAGACCUAGAUGUUAUUAAAUAAUAGAAAUUUAAAAGCAUUUAAAAUUUUCCAUGAUUGCAUUUCAGGAGUGUUUUCUAGACCACAUGCACUGAUUCAAAGCAAUUCUUUUGGUUCUUUCAAUCUUUCUCCAAAUUUUUUUAUUUUUUGAAGCAAAUUUUUAUAAAUGAACGUUCCAGAGGAAUCGCAUCUUUGUAUGCAAACGCCAUACAUCAGCAAUAUAUAUAAAUGAUAAUCUUUUAUGUAAUUAUAUUAUUAAAAUACUCUGCUUUAGGUCGGACGUUGCUAUGACAGACACAGUAUACUUGUUCAAUAUUCCUGCAUCAGACCAUGCAUGCACAGAUACGUUGAGCUAGCUAUUUCCAACAAUGAUUUUCCCCGCGAAAUCCUUUAAGAGCUUAAAAAUCAUGGUAAAAACUCCUAUAUUCCUACCUCAAAACUAUAUCGAAAUUCAACACUUAUCAGCCUAAUUGAUUAUUCUAAGACUAAGUACCGCGCCAAACCAAACUGGCAAUUUGACACAUCCAUGAUUAAUGGUCCUUUUCAUAGCCCAGGGUCGACAUGGUCAUGGAAAUAUGCGAUAUUCCCAAUGAGUUUUUAACAAACAGAAUUCGCUUAUAUUUCCACAAUAUGGCACGAAGGUCAUGUCACUCAAAAGGGAAAACCCUGAUCUAUCUCAAUAUCAAAACCGAGUUGUUGUCAAUUGAUCAAGUAAUUUGAUAACAACAGCGUGCUGAAGGUGGGUCACCUAGUUUUCAGCAAAAAUUGCAAACAAAACCUGCUUAUACUGGUAAAAUACCUGGUAACCAUAAUCCCAAACCUUGGGGUAAGAUCCUAGAAUAACUAUCUGGACAUUCAGUGCAGUUUUAGCUUGAAAGAUCGUUAAAAAUCAAGUCCAUUUCCUGGCGAAGGAAAUUCUGAAAGGACAUUUAAUAAAUACAUGUAUUAAGAAAGCUCUUUUGUCUCAAGUAUUUAUUAAUAAAUGAGCUGAAAGAUUGAUCAAAUCAUUCUCACGAACGCGACAGUCGCUAGCGAUAAACACAACCAUGCACUAGUGAAAAUAAAGCAACUUCACUCGCACAUUGUUGAACAAAUGGCGACUAAUUUUUUAGCAAAUAAUUUUUUAGUCAGGUAUAUUGGAACUCUGCUGAUAAAAAAGAUAGUUCUUCCUGUCGUUCGCGCGUCAGAGAUUUGAUGAGGUGGGUGUGGUGUUAUUUAGGCAUCAGCCCCUUGUCGCGAAGCAAUUGAAUACGUCACAAAACGUAAACGUAUUUAAAAUAUGUUUUACUACAGUACACAUGAAAGCCAUUCCUGUGCCUUCUACAAUGUGUUAUGAGGUAUGUAAACCUGUUGUAAAAAAUCACUAGUUUAUCAGAGUAGGAAGGUGUUCAACCCUCAAAGAUUGAAACAGGGGCUACACCAACCGACUCCCCGCCUUCCAAUAACACUCUUGGUAGACAUGCAGAAGCAUAGAUCACUAUAAAUGUCCCGCCACUAGUGGUAAUGACUAGUUUCCUGGGCCAAUCGUUAUUUGUAACAAAUAAGGUUAAGUAUAUCGAUGUCUCGUGUCUGGAAAACUCUGUAAAUCACAUUUUCUAAACACCAUACGAAUAAUACGCCGGUUGUUCGAAAGGCGUUCAAGCUUAAACAAUGCAUGGAUAAGUUCAAAAUGGAUAACAAAAUUAUCU